rnacentral:lncRNA from 1 species
GAUCCUCCGAUGCUCAAGUCAGUACUCUGCCUCAAUAGAAAUAGAGCACUCAAAUAAAAUUUUAGCAGAGUUUCGAGAUAGAGUUUAGAGCUUAGAGAAGAACAUAUCUGGGAAUCCCUUUUUAUAGAUGGAGAGCGUAACGAUUGACAGCGACGUCUGUAACUACCUGGUAGUGGGCCGUUCGGGGCCUCGCAGAGUUUGUUACGGAGAGCAGUGGCAUCAGGGGGCCAUUCAAGGUCACGUGGAGUUUGUUAUGGAGAGUGGAGUGGUGUCCGUUAUCGCGACUUGUCAG